CCUACGGGAGGCAGCAGUGAGGAAUAUUGGUCAAUGGACGAGAGUCUGAACCAGCCAAGUAGCGUGAAGGAUGACUGCCCUAUGGGUUGUAAACUUCUUUUAUAAAGGAAUAAAACGAGGCACGUGUGCCUUUUUGCAUGUACUUUAUGAAUAAGGAUCGGCUAACUCCGUGCCAGCAGCCGCGGUAAUACGGAGGAUCCGAGCGUUAUCCGGAUUUAUUGGGUUUAAAGGGAGCGUAGAUGGGUUGUUAAGUCAGUUGUGAAAGUUUGCGGCUCAACCGUAAAAUUGCAAUUGAUACUGGCAGUCUUGAGUACAGUUGAGGUAAGCGGAAUUCGUGGUGUAGCGGUGAAAUGCUUAGAUAUCACGAAGAACCCCGAUUGCGAAGGCAGCUUACUAAACUGUGACUGACAUUGAUGCUCGAAAGUGUGGGUAUCGAACAGGAUUAGAUACCCGGGUAGUC
rnacentral:rRNA from 1 species